GCCUCUUCUGGACAGCCUGGUGACAAGGCCCUCUGAACCCUGCCAGCCCAGAAUUCACUGAGCUCCCUCUGUGGCACUGCCCUUGUUUCCUUUCCCGGAGCAGAAUGUGGCAUUGCACCCGGGGCUGCACGAUGACCGACAUCAGAGGACUGCGUGUGCCAGAAGAUCCCAGGGGAAGGAGCAGGAGCAUUUCAGAGAUGCUCAUCCACGAGGCCCGCACCUCACAAGGGGCUACUGUGCAGAGAGGAGAGUCCAGCGCCUUACCUGAAGAAUCCCCAGAUGCCCAGGCGGUACUGGAUGGUCACCACCACCACGUUUUCAAGGGCAGAGAGGGGCAGUCCAUCAUAGGUGGAUGCCCCGCCCACCACCAGACCACCUCCAUGGAUCCACACCAUCACCUGGGCAACACAGACACAACCAUACUAGUUAUAGGAAGCACAAUUGGAGAAGACCUCAGAGGUCUGUCACCUACAUCUUGACUGUGACUGCACAAAUGCCAGUAGCAACAUCCACCAGUGUUAAGGCUGGAGUCUCUCUCUGCUUCAGGAUCACCUCUGCCACACACUCCGCCAUGAUGUUCUGCCUCACCUCCAGCCCUGAGGAAUGGAGCUGGCCUUCUCUGGACUAAGACUCUAAAACCAUGAGCCCUCAAAUAAACUUUU